CGAAUCUCUCCAGUCGCAUGGACCACCGCUCCAAGCCAAGCCAUGGUAGCCACAAGAAGGAGGAUUACAGCCUGGCCUUCAGGUUUAGCGCCGUCGCUGCAGGUGCAAGGCUCGACCGCCGAUGCUGCGGCUAACCCGUCGCGGCCGGCUGGGCGACCGCGCGAGCUGCGCUGCGGAGCCUGCCGAUGUUGCGGCGACUUGUCGCAUCCGGCGACGGCGACCGCGCGAGUUGCGACGCGGCGGAAGGCAUCCCAAUGGCAGUGCUGGAACCGGCUUCCAGUUUUGCUACAACCGGCGAGGCGAAUGCGGCGGCCACGGCGUGCUGCAUCCGGCGGCGCAAGAUGCUGGGACCGGCUGCGAGGAAUGCUACAACCAUGGCUUGGAGAUGCUGGAACCGAGACUCGCCGUGUUGCGAUCGGCCGACCGGCGACGGCGAGCGUCGACGGCGAGCAACGGGGGAGGCUGGCCUUGCCACCUGCAUGAGGGAGAGAACACACGACAUGAUGAGAGAGUGGGCGGCCGCCAUGGAUUCGUUUUCUAUGAUCUUUAACAUGCCGACGCGAGGGUGUGAAGAAGACGAUGGAAAGAUGCCAUCCAACGGCUACGCGUGGGCCUAUCCAAGGGUUGCGCGUCGACCGGCCGAAUUUGGGCCGGUCGACCGGCGCCUAUCACUGCCCUUUAAAGAAUAAGCAAGACAUGGAGUAGGACGUUUAUCCAUCUUGAGUGCGUGGACCUGGGUAUAUUGUGUCUUUAUUUUUUGUAUUCUAGACCCAUGGUAUUCGGACGCGACGUCCCCUCGACUAGAAAUUCCAUGUACUCCCUCUAGUAGUACUGUUACGUAUGACAAAAAAUCACUUGACAUUUAUCA